GGCCAUUGCUAUUGGGAUCCGAUUUAGCCAUGCUAGUCGCACGAGUUCAGACUCGUGGCGAAUAGCUCAGUAACACGUGGCCAAACUACCCUUCGGAACACAAUACCCUCGGGAAACUGAGGCUAAUAGUGUAUACCAUACCACCACUGGAAUGAGUGGUAUGCCAAACGCUCCGGCGCCGAAGGAUGUGGCUGCGGCCGAUUAGGUAGACGGUGGGGUAACGGCCCACCGUGCCAAUAAUCGGUAUGGGUCAUGAGAGUGAGAACCCAGAGACGGAAUCUGAGACAAGAUUCCGGGCCCUACGGGGCGCAGCAGGCGCGAAACCUUUACACUGCACGACAGUGCGAUAGGGGGAUCCCAAGUGCACAGGCAUAGCGCCUGUGCUUUUCGGUACCCUAAGGCGGUACCAGAAUAAGGGCUGGGCAAGACCGGUGCCAGCCGCCGCGGUAAUACCGGCAGCCCAAGUGAUGGCCGAUCUUAUUGGGCCUAAAGCGUCCGUAGCUGGCCGCGCAAGUCCAUCGGGAAAUCCACCUGCUCAACAGGUGGGCGCCCGGUAGAAACUGCGUGGCUUGGGACCGGAAGGCGCGACGGGUACGUCCGGGGUAGGAGUGAAAUCCCGUAAUCCUGGACGGACCGCCGAUGGCGAAAGCACGUCGCGAGAACGGAUCCGACAGUGAGGGACGAAAGCCAGGGUCUCGAACCGGAUUAGAUACCCGGGUAGUCCUGGCCGUAAACAAUGUCUGCUAGGUGUGGCUCCCACUACGAGUGGGUGCUGUGCCGUAGGGAAGCCGCUAAGCAGACCGCCUGGGAAGUGCGUCCGCAAGGAUGAAACUUAAAGGAAUUGGCGGGGGAGCACUACAACCGGAGGAGCCUGCGGUUU
rnacentral:rRNA from 1 species